rnacentral:rRNA from 1 species
CCCUACGGGGCGCAGCAGUGAGGAAUAUUGGGCAAUGGGGGCAACCCUGACCCAGCCAUGCCGCGUGAGUGAAGAAGGUCUUCGGAUUGUAAAGCUCUUUCGGACGUGACGAUGAUGACGGUAGCGUCUAAAGAAGCACCGGCUAAAUACGUGCCAGCAGCCGCGGUAAUACGUAUGGUGCAAGCGUUAUCCGGAUUUACUGGGCGUAAAGGGAGCGCAGGCGGCGCGCCAAGUCUGAUGUGAAACCCCGGGGCUCAACCCCGGGCAUGCAUUGGAAACUGGCGGGCUGGAGUGCCGGAGAGGUA